CCUACGGGAGGCAGCAGUAGGGAAUCUUCCACAAUGGACGAAAGUCUGAUGGAGCAACGCCGCGUGAGUGAAGAAGGGUUUCGGCUCGUAAAGCUCUGUUGGUAGUGAAGAAAGAUAGAGGUAGUAACGGGCCUUUAUUGGACGGUAAUGACUUAGAAAGCCACGGCUAACUACGUGCGAGCAGCCGAGGUGAUACGUAGGUGGCAAGCGGUGUCCGGUUUUAUUGGGCGUAAAGGGGGUGCAUGGGGGUCAAUAGGUCUGAUGUGAAAGCCUUCGGCUGAACCGGAGAAUUGCAGCAGAAGCUGUUGAACUUGAGUGCAGAAGAGGAGAGUGGAACUCCAUGUGUAGCGGUGGAAUGCUUAGAUAUAUGGAAGAACACCAGUAGCGAAGGCGGCUCUCUGGUCUGCAACUGACGCUGAGGCUCGAAAGCAUGGGUAGCGAACAGGAUUAGAUACCCGGGUAGUC
rnacentral:rRNA from 1 species